CUCCAGGCAGCACAGCUCUCCUCCUCACGCUGUGCAUACAGCAUUCCUUCCCAGAGCCCAGCAGGUUGUAUCUUGACCUCAUUCUGGCCAUCCUGGCCCUGGAACUGAUCUGUUCCCUGACGUGUCUGCUCAUCUACACAGUGAAGGUUCGAAAAUUUAAUAAAGCCAAACCACAGCCUGAUAUACUUGAAGAAGAAAAAGUCCAUGCUUACCCUAGCAAUAUUACUUCAGAGACUGGAUUCAGGACUAUUUCAAGUUUAGAAGAAAUUAUUGAAAAGCAAGGAGACAUAAUAGUAUACCUGAAGAGACACAAUGCACUGUUGAGUAAGCGGUUGUUGGCUUUCACUUCCUCGGACCUAGGCUCUCAUUCAAAUCGGAUGUGAGAGUUCAAGGUCAAGACAGCAAUUGCAGAGUGAUCCAGGCUAAUACAAGACUGACCACCUGACAAACUGUCAUAGAAAAUGGCAGCUUUUGCUGAGUGACAUUUUACCACUCUUGUAGAGUACCUGAAUUUGGUUCUCACCUGUGUGGCUAUUUAAUAUGUAGAGCUUGUGGAUUAUGUGAUGGUGAUUUGUCAAGCCUUGAUAUCUCAAUAAUGUCUGUUUUACACAUUUUGAAAUUA